GAAGUUUCUCAUGUGGUCCUGUACAGAUAUUUCACUCAGUGUUGCCAAGAGAUUUUACCCAACAACAGGAUUAUCCAGAUGUAAUAUUAGAGGUUUGUCAAAAAGAUCAUCUGAGGACAAUGAGGCUUCAACACCACCCUCUUAACUGACAGAUUGCACAGCCACUUUCCAAACUUAUCAUUGCCAGUGAAUUAUCUUACUAUUCGUUUUUUCUGCCUUAAAUAUAAAUGUAAUGUAUAAUCUGCCUUUCUUGACUGCAUUAUAAUAACAGUAAAGUUAUUUAUUUAAUACUUUUAUAGUUUAAGCACUAUCCUAAGUACUUUUCAUAUAUAAUUUAAAUGAAUGGUCUGCCGUAAAUCCCUGAAAUUGCUAUUACUAUCCUCCUUCCCCACUGUAGAUGAGAAAACUGGGCACUAGGCCAUGUUGCUAGUAAGUGAUAGAAAGUAUUUUCAAUUCAGAUUUAUCUGCUUUAAAGCCAAGGCUUUUUAACAUUAGAACAUGCUACCUGAAGUGAGUGAAUUAAGAAAGAGGAGGUUCAAUGUUAUUCAUUUUUGUAGACCAGUUCCUAGCCCCAUGUAUGGUGUUGGUGGAGGCUCAGUUAAGAAGGUGGAAAUCAUGAUGCAAACUGGGCAGUCUUUUUGUGUUUUGGGGACGCAGUGGGCUCUCAAUCUCAAGAAGAUCAGUUAUUAAGGAAAUAAGGUGUUAUAUGCUGUGGAUAUAUAUCCAAAGGGAUGCUGCCAAAUUAUAUUAUUUUAAAAAUAAAAAUUAAAUUUAUUUGUUGUUCAUUUGUGCUUAUAUGCAUUAACUCAGUUCUCACAAUACUUUUUUGUUGUAGGCACUAUUAUGUCCUUACUUUACAAAUGUGGAUUAUUGAGACACAGAGAGGUUCAGUUCAUGUUCAUGGUCACGUAGCUAGUGCAUGACUAAGGUACAACAGGAUCAUGGUGGGCAUUUGGGCACCAAGGCCCACACCUCCAACCACUGUGCAUGCAAAUGCACAUUGGGGAUUGAGCCCUAAAUCAGGGCAUGUGACCUGACCAGGAAUCGAACUGUGACCCCUUGGUUCAUAGGUUGAUGCUCAACCACUGAACCACGCUGGUCAGCCUAUUUCUUUUGUGCCUUACAAGAACACUGUGAGCAGAAUAUGUAUCAUCCCCCUUUCACAUGAUGAGGUCAUAAGAGGUGACCUGCAAUGGGAGAGUGCCUACUUACUGAUCCACACACUAGGUGAGUGACAGUCAAUGUUUUCUGUGAUAGACAACAUGGGUUUGUGUGGACAGAAGAUAAGAGAAAGACAACCCUGAAAAAGAGCCAGUUGCUACAGAUGAGUAGGCAGAGAAAAUUCUCACUGUUGCUAGGAGACCAGUUCUGCUGUCAGGCUGAGGAAUGAGAACAUGCCCAAUGGAGGGCACUGGGCUGGAAUUCAUGUCUGACAAAAAUUGUUGAAUCAUGCAUGCCAGUGGGUUGAGUCAGAAUCAACCAGAGCUAAAAACAGUCAAGAAAGUUUUCCUACCCCUUAUUUGUUUCUCCUCUUUUUAUUAUUUAUUUCAGAUAUAAAUUCUUAAUUAAUGAUCCAACAGUAGACAUGGGAUGCAUAGAAAUUUUUAGUGCCACUCUGAGGCACAUGGUGAUGUAUUUUAAGCCACUAUCCAGAAUGAGAAAUCCUUUCUCCAAAAAUAAGUAAGUAAGCCCAAGGAGAGUUUAACUUGCUUGUCUUCCACGUUCCUUUGAGGUAGUCUAAAUUGUUUAUCAAAUGAAGCAUUACUGAGUUAAUGUCAAAACUCUUUGCACUGUUAAUAACAAAGGUUUAUUCUUACCUCCACUCAACAGACCUCCUUCCUGACUGACAUCUGUGCUUGCACCCAAUAGCCAGUGCAGCCUUGCACAGGUCAUGCUUCCUCCAUGAAUUGCCUUUUUCUCAUAUAAAUAAGACCAGAAAUGUGGAUUAUCAGGCCUUAUAGAAUAUUUGGCUUUAUAUGAUUCUAGGACCAUA